rnacentral:lncRNA from 1 species
AUUAAGGUAUCAUUGAGCUUAUCAUGAAUUUUACACUACUUAAAAGCUUUUUGCACCAUGACAAACAAAUCCCCGACACACACCUUAGGCACCUAAGUAAUUAAGGUAUUAUUGAGCUUACUCCUUAAAAGUUUUUUGCACCAUGACAAACAAAUCCCCGACACACACCUUAGGCACCUAAGUAAUUAAGGUAUUAUUAUUGAGCUUACUCCUUAAAAGUUUUUUGCACCAUAACUAGUGGCGGACCUAUUAAGGCGCAAAGAGGUGUAGCUGCACCUCCCCUCACUGGAAAAAUCAAUCGCCAUGCUUCAUAUUGCACCUCUGCUGAAGUUGCUUAUGGUGCACUCCAGAUGUUCGACCAUUUGCCUUAGUGAAAGGAGGUUUGUUGUGUUGCGCUGAUGGCCUGAGGGUAGACUAGCGCGACAUAAUUUAUUAUUAUUAUUUUUUAAAAGGCCUUCCAAAACAACAUGGUUUUGAACUAGGCG